rnacentral:tRNA from 1 species
GCGCAAGUGGCGGAACUGGUAGACGCGCUAGCUUGAGGGGCUAGUCCCAUAAUUUUUUGGGGUGGAGGUUCAAGUCCUCUCUUGCGCA